rnacentral:rRNA from 1 species
AUUGAACGCUGGCGGCAUGCUUUACACAUGCAAGUCGAACGGUAACAGGGUGCUUGCACCGCUGACGAGUGGCGAACGGGUGAGUAAUGCGUCGGAACGUGCCGAGUAGUGGGGGAUAACGCAGCGAAAGUUGUGCUAAUACCGCAUACGUACUGAGGUAGAAAGUGGGGGACCUUCGGGCCUCACGCUAUUCGAGCGGCCGACGUCUGAUUAGCUAGUAGGUGAGGUAAAGGCUCACCUAGGCGACGAUCAGUAGCGGGUCUGAGAGGAUGAUCCGCCACACUGGGACUGAGACACGGCCCAGACUCCUACGGGAGGCAGCAGUGGGGAAUUUUGGACAAUGGGCGAAAGCCUGAUCCAGCCAUGCCGCGUGUCUGAAGAAGGCCUUCGGGUUGUAAAGGACUUUUGUCGGGGAGGAAAUCCCCAGCGUUAAUACCGCUGGGGGAUGACAGUACCUGAAGAAUAAGCACCGGCUAACUACAUACCAGCCGCCGCAGUAA